GUGAGGAAUUUUCCGCAAUGGGCGAAAGCCUGACGGAGCAAUGCCGCGUGGAGGAUGACAGCCUGUGGGUCGUAAACUCCUUUUCUCAGAAAAGAAGAUCUGACGGUAUCUGAGGAAUAAGCAUCGGCUAACUCCGUGCCAGCAGCCGCGGUAAUACGGAGGAUGCAAGCGUUAUCCGGAAUGAUUGGGCGUAAAGCGUCUGUAGGUGGUUUAUUAAGUCUACUGUUAAAGAUCAGGGCUUAACCCUGAGCCGGCAGUGGAAACUAAUAAGCUUGAGUACGGUAGGGGCAGAGGGAAUUCCCGGUGUAGCGGUGAAAUGCGUAGAGAUCGGGAAGAACACCAAUGGCGAAAGCACUCUGCUGGGCCGAAACUGACACUGAGAGACGAAAGCUAGGGGAGCGAAUGGG
rnacentral:rRNA from 1 species